GCUCCACAGGGCUUCAUGAACAAGUGAUGCAAGUGACGCGGAACAAGAGUGGCAUGGACCGUGGAUUCUACCCCACUUAUUACCUGCACCUGGACAAUGAAAAGAAGGCCUUCCUGCUGGCUGGCCGCAAUUGCAAGAAGGGCACGACCUCGAACUACCUGAUCUCCACUGACGCCACAGACCUGUCGCGGGAUGGAGAGAAUGACAUUGGGAAGUUAAGUUAAAGAAUUUGGCGUGCACGCAUCACAGAGAAGAGGAUUCAGCUACACACGUGCCGAAGAGAGGGAUUCAGAUACACACCUCCUGCAGAGUAACAUUUGAGUACACACGUCCAGGAGAGAGCAAUUCAGGUACAUGCAUCCUGGAGAGAUGGAUUCAGGUACAAGCUUCUCAGAGAGAGAACUACAGGUACAAGCUUCGCAGUGAGUGGGAUUCGGGUACAUGCUCUCACCUGCCUAACUACAGAGACAUAAUGCACAGUACGUUCCAUUUAUCUCCCUGACACACGCAUGGGGGCUGGUCUAGGCCAGUGUCCCACAGAGGCUGGCUGUAUCUUAAAGGGCUUACGGGACCAAUCCCAUAGGCACCUUUUCAGAUGCUAAUUCCCUUGUCGCCGUGCCACAGCGGCAGAGAAUCUUUUGAAUUAAAUUAACAUGAAAAA